GGCAGAUGGUGGGGUCUCAAUCAGACUUUGGCUUUUUACUCCGAGAGCACUGAGAAGCCGGGGGAAGCACGUGUUAUGGAGGAUGGUUGUGGCCGGGGAGGCAGUUGUGGGAGAAGGGUGGCAUUCAGGAAACUUCCACAGUCCACGUGAGGAAAGGUGGUAGCUUAGACCAGGGCGGGAGCAGGGGUGGUAAGGCGAAACGGCCAUGCUCUGCCUGUAUUUCAAAUGCAGAGCCUGUGAAACGGGCUGUGGAUUUCCUGUGGGCUGAGAAAGACAGAAGAGUCGAGAACAACUGCAAAGUCUUCCCUCAUCUUUAACACAUAAGAUGGAAUUGUCCAAAACUGAGAUGAGAGAAACUUCUGAAGGCAUGUGAGCAGGUGGGGAGGUGGGGGCUUCAGUUUGGGAGACGUCGGAGGCUUGUGAGGCUGCCUGCAUGGGACGGCCAGGAGACGGCUGAGUGUCUGAGUCUGGAGUUCAGGGGAGCACUGGGGACAGAGAUGGAAGCUGGGAAAACAUCAAGGGGGUUUUCAAAUGAGAUCACAAAGAGGACCAAUUGUGAGAGUAGACAGACAGGAGGUUUCAGAGUUGACCUCUGGGCUGGUCCUGCAUCUAUAAAGAGAUCAGGGAAAUGAUGAGGAGACAGCAAGGCAGGCUCAGAAGGCAUAACCUGGCAGCGGGGAGGAAACCAACAGCGUGGCAUCCUGGAAGGCACAUGAAGGAGGCAAAACUGAUCACUUGUGUCAACGAUGCUAAGUAAGAUCUGGGCAAAGAACUGACCUUUGGGUUUGGCAUCAUGUAUGCAACUGGUGACCGCGACCCAAGCAAUUACACGGGGAUGACAGGGAUAACAGCCUGGCUGGAGUUGGUGCAAGGAAGAAUGGGAGCAGAGGACAAAGAGACAAGGAGACAAGGAGACAAAUUAAAUGAAUCAGACACAGCCUCAUUCUGGAUGCCCACCGGCAGUAAGGGGAGGUGAUGUACAGAGAAACAAGCACAGUACAGGACAUCACACAUUGUAACAGAGCUUGAAGAGCCCAGAGAUUGAAGAUGCCUCAAGAGAUGAACCCAGGAAUUACACAGCCAAACAGUUUCCCUGAUGUCCUCUCAAACUCUGGUAUUGAAUGAGCCUCAAACACCA